UACGAAGGGGGCUAGCGUUGCUCGGAAUGACUGGGCGUAAAGGGCGCGUAGGCGGUUGUAUAAGUUAGAUGUGAAAUCCCCGGGCUUAACCUGGGAAUGGCAUUUAAUACUGUAUGACUAGAGUAGAGUAGAGGGAAGUGGAAUUUCCGGUGUAGUGGUGAAAUACGUAGAUAUCAGGAGGAACACCUGUGGUGUAGACAGCUUACUGGACCACUUCUGACGCUGAGACACGAAAGCGUGGGUAGCAAACAGG
rnacentral:rRNA from 1 species